UACGGGGGGGGCAAGCGUUGUUCGGAAUUACUGGGCGUAAAGGGCUCGUAGGCGGCCAACUAAGUCAGACGUGAAAUCCCUCGGCUUAACCGGGGAACUGCGUCUGAUACUGGAUGGCUUGAGUUUGGGAGAGGGAUGCGGAAUUCCAGGUGUAGCGGUGAAAUGCGUAGAUAUCUGGAGGAACACCGGUGGCGAAGGCGGCAUUCUGGACUAUUUCUGACACUGAUGAACGAAAGCCAGGGGAGCAAACGGG
rnacentral:rRNA from 1 species